rnacentral:rRNA from 1 species
AAUAGAUACCCGGGUAGUCCACGCCGUAAACGGUGGGCACUAGGUGUGAGCGACAUUCCACGUCGUCCGUGCCGCAGCUAACGCAUUAAGUGCCCCGCCUGGGGAGUACGGCCGCAAGGCUAAAACUCAAAGGAAUUGACGGGGGCUCACACAAGCGGUGAAGCAUGUUGCUUAAUUCGAGGCAACGCGAAGAACCUUACCUGGGUUUGACAUGCUUGGAUUAACCCCAUGAAAGUGGGGCCACGCCCGCAAGGGUGGAACAAGCACAGGUGCUGCAUGGCUGUCGUCAGCUCGUGCUGUGAAGUGUCGGGUUAAGUCCUCUAACGAGCGCAACCCCUAUCGUUAGUUGCUCACGGGUAAAGCCGAGUACUCUAGCGAGACUGCCGGUGUCAAACCGGAGGAAGGCGGGGAUGACGCCAAGUCCUCAUGGCCCUUACAUCCAGGGUUGCAAACGUGCUACAAUGGCGCGCACAAAGCGACGCGAGGCCGCGAGGCGGAGCAAAUCGCAAAAAUCGCGCCCAGUUCGGAUUGC